UGGGGAAUUUUGGACAAUGGGCGAAAGCCUGAUCCAGCAAUGCCGCGUGUGUGAAGAAGGCCUUCGGGUUGUAAAGCACUUUUGUCCGGAAAGAAAUCCUUGGCUCUAAUACAGUCGGGGGAUGACGGUACCGGAAGAAUAAGCACCGGCUAACUACGUGCCAGCAGCCGCGGUAAUACGUAGGGUGCAAGCGUUAAUCGGAAUUACUGGGCGUAAAGCGUGCGCAGGCGGUUUGCUAAGACCGAUGUGAAAUCCCCGGGCUCAACCUGGGAACUGCAUUGGUGACUGGCAGGCUAGAGUAUGGCAGAGGGGGGUAGAAUUCCACGUGUAGCAGUGAAAUGCGUAGAGAUGUGGAGGAAUACCGAUGGCGAAGGCAGCCCCCUGGGCCAAUACUGACGCUCAUGCACGAAAGCGUGGGGAGCAAACAGGAUUAGAUACCCUGGUAGUCCACGCCCUAAAACGAUGUCAACUAGUUGUUGGGGAUUCAUUUCCUUAGUAACGUAGCUAACGCGUGAAGUUGACCGCCUGGGGAGUACGGUCGCAAGAUUAAAACUCAAA
rnacentral:rRNA from 1 species